GGCGGUUUUCCUUCUCACAGUGGAUUGCGAUAACAUUUACUGCGAAAGAGGAGCAGCGGUGGGUCCCAGCGUACGCGUAUAUUUGACUGGCAACCGGAAUUAGUGUGAACGGGAGAGUGUACACGUGGGAUGUAAGUAAAAGGAGAUUAGGGUCUGAUGUUAGCAUGUGAUGGUGCUGUCCUCUUUCGUUUCCCUUUUUUAUUUUUUUUUUCUUUUAAUAUUUCUUAAAAUAAUAUUAUCUACAUUUUUUGUUUUUCAAAAUCAUUUAUCUUCACUGCAUUUUAUUUAGUAUGAAUAACUACAAUAAUAUUGUAAACUAUGGUUAAUAUAAUGUUCUGUUCUCAUUGUGUCAAAAAUUCAAAG
rnacentral:lncRNA from 1 species